GGCAUGUAUAGCCCUAACUGUGCGACGGCCACGAGGAGCAAACGAGAAGACGCAACUUGGCGGUUUACGACGGUUCGCUGUGUAUCCGAUCUUUUGACUCGCGACUUAGGAUAUGCGUGGCAGUGCGUAGUUUGAGGCAGUUUGACAUGUGGAUUUAGACGCUUCGCAACCUAUUGUUUUGCAGGUGUGUGAUUCGAGUCGGUGUUGCUCUUGGCUAGCAGAUAGGAUUACUCGUUUAUUUGGUGGAAUGCAUUCGACUUGUUAGAAAUUAAAUAACAUUUUGACUUUUUAUUUAAUCAAGUACUGUUUUAAUUAAAAUUUCCGCUGCGCAUUUUUGAGAAAAGACUUAUUUUCAAACAGUGCACUGUGAUGUGACCCGACUGUAGGGUGCCAGGU